AGAGUUUGAUCAUGGCUCAGGAUGAACGUUGGUAGUAUGCCUAACACAUGCAAGUCGAGCGGACUCGGGCUUCGGUUCGAGUUAGCGGCGGACGGGUGAGUAACGCGUGAGCGACCUAGCCUGUUGGUGGGGGAUAACUGCCCGAAAGGGUGGCUAAUCCCGCAUGAUCCCUUUGGACCAAUCCAAAGGGGAAAGCUUCGCAAGGAGCGCCGGAGGGGGGGCUCGCGUCCCAUUAGGUGGUUGGUGGGGUAGUGGCCUACCAAGCCUGUGAUGGGUAGCUGGUCUGAGAGGAUGGCCGGCCACACUGGGACUGAGAAACGGCCCAGACUCCUACGGGGGGCAGCAGUAAGGGAUCUUCGCCAAUGGCCGAAAGGCUGAGCGAGCGACGCCGCGUGAGUGAUGAAGGGUUUCGGCCUGUAAAGCUCUGUUGACCGGGAAGAGGAUGGACGGUACCGGUCGAGGAAGCCCCGGCUAACUACGUGCCAGCCGCCGCGGUAAUAC
rnacentral:rRNA from 1 species